CGGGGUACGGCUUACACUAAACUUAACCUCGAAGGUUAAUGAAUUACUAAAUCAUUAGCAUGGUUCACCGGAUAAUGCGGAAAUCUAAAGACAAAGACAGUUUCCGGUCAAUAUUCUGCGAAAACCAAGCCAGUAUUAUAUCUUUGUGGUGUGGCAGUGCGAUUUUGUUUAUCGGUCCCAAAAAUGAUGUAUUUAAGCGGUUUCGCGGUAUAACGGCUUUCGCCUCAACUAAGUAGUGUCCGGAUUCCUGGGAAGAUGACGCCACUCUCGACGUUCGCCUCAAGAAAGUUUCAGGUUUCAGAGAUGACGCCACUAUUGCGCCAUCUAUCGGCGACUGCCUCCACUAGUAUAAGUAUAUACAGUAUAUUUGCUUGAGGUAAAAGUCGGCGAACUGGACUACUUUCGACGGGGCUCUACGUCGCUAAUAUCAGCAUCUCCGACUUCCUGCUCCUGUUUCGCAUUUUACAUAGAGACCAAAGUUUUGUGACACAAAGCAUACAACUUACAGGUGGGUAGGGUUUAAUAACUAAGGAUGUAUAUAUCGCUCAUUUCAUGGUAAGUACCCACAGUUGUUGGUCCUAAACCUCGCCAUUCCCUCCAACUUGCUUUAGAAUUAUAUCUUGAUCAUAAAGGUUCUAAACUGAUCAUUGGGUUGGCGACCGAUUACUGUUUGUAAUGGAAGCAAUAAAACA